AGGAGAGCAAAGAACAUUCAAAACCCUUGGUGGUGAUUCAAAUCCAUGUAACUUUUGAUUCGGAGCUCCGAUGGCUACAAAGCCCAAUCAUUAAUUAGUUUGAAUUAGCUUGUGGGUUUUGUUGGGUUUGACUCACUUGAGCUAUGGGCAAGAUUGAAUGUUGUUGGUGAAAAAUCAAAUUGGAGGUCAAACUUGUUAAAUUGAAGCUUUGGAUCAAUUUCUGGAAGCUAGGUUUCAUUGGUAAGGGGCGGUGGUUGAUAGCUUGUGUUGCGAGGAAUGCUUGAGGUAUUCCGAGUUUAUCAAAAAAUCG